rnacentral:rRNA from 1 species
GGUUUAAUUCGUUACUAACCGAAGAACCUUACCCAGGCUUGACAUCCCCGGACCGCCUGUGAAAGCAGGUUUCCCCACCCACAAGGUGGGGCUGGGUGACAGGUGUUGCAUGGCUGUCGUCAGCUCGUGUCGUGAGAUGUUGGGUUAAGUCCCGCAACGAGCGCAACCCUCAUCGCAUGUUGCCAGCGUAAAGUCGGGCACUCUUGCGAAACUGCCCGUGUAAGCGGGAG